GACGUAGGGCGCGAGCGUUGUCCGGAUUUAUUGGGCGUAAAGAGCUCGUAGGCGGCUCGUUGCGUCGGCUGUGAAAACCCGCAGCUCAACUGUGGGCUUGCAGCUGAUACGGGCGGGCUGGAGUUCGGUAGGGGAGACUGGAAUUCCUGGUGUAGCGGUGAAAUGCGCAGAUAUCAGGAGGAACACCGGUGGCGAAGGCGGGUCUCUGGGCCGAUACUGACGCUGAGGCACGAAAGCGUGGGGAGCAAACAGG
rnacentral:rRNA from 1 species